UUCCCUCCGUUUCAUAAAGGUUGGCACGGUUGUGAACUACCUCUAAUUCAAAGCCGUGCCAACCUUUACGAAACGGAGGGAGUA